CAACGUUAAUCGGAUCAGGGUUAGUCGGGUACUUAGGCGAAGCCGAAAGGUGCAGCUGAUGUCAAGUUGGUUAAUAUUCCAACACUUGUAAUAAUUUCGAUGGAGUAACAGAGAAGUGAAAGGUCCGCGGGAUUACGGAAUAUCCCGUUAAAGCGUGUAGAUAUACCGAGUAUAGGCAAAUCCGUACAUGGUGUCGAACGUGAUAGUACGCAGAGGCUUCGGCCAAAGUGAUAGUGACCCUAAUCAUGCUCGCGAGAAAAACUUCUAAGGCUAGGUUAUUACAACCCGUACCGUAAACCGACACAGGUAGUCGAGAAGAGUAUUCUAAGGCGCUCGGGUGAGCCACGGAGAAGGAACUAGGCAAAUUGUAGCUGUAACUUCG
rnacentral:rRNA from 1 species